GUCGACGUCAGUGCAUUGUUAAAAGUAGUCGUCAAAGUGUCGAACUAGAACUAAUAAAAAAUUGAAACCUUCUAGGUUAUCACUUCUCAGCUUACAGUAAUGGCACACUGCCAAUGUGUGUAGUUGCAUGAGAGUUCAUUCAUGGUCCUGUUAAAGCACAAACCAAGCCCCACGAGUACUUUUUGGAGGCCAGCUUUCACACAUUCUGUGAAACCACUCUUUACAUCCCGUACACUCUAUGGUGUGCCAAGCCUGUGUUCUUGUGGAAUUCAGUGGGUGAUAAUCUAUUCUUCGACAACUGCAGGAAUGCUGACAUAACUUUACUUAACAGGCAUUUUUUCAAAUGUUGCCUCAUGACGCCCCUGUUAUAUAUGGACUGUGAUGGAUCUUCGCCCAAUGCUAGAGUUAUGGCAUUUGCAAUCGCAUGAAGGCCACAAUCAUUCGGCAAUUGCUGCUGACAUCCAACACUUUGGAGCAGCGGGAAAUUCCAGAUCCCAGCCGAGAGUCGUAUCAUAUAAUCCACCAAUAUUUGGAAACUGAUGUUUGAUCAGAUUUAUGGCUGCAUUGAUAUGGCUUGAUUCAAGCCAAUACCCCGGAACGGUAAUAUCUUCGAUUUCGGCUUUUGACAAAUUCACCUGUUGGUUUGAUCUCUGCGACCCACGGGUCUGAUAGUGAAAGACCGGAGUCUGAAAAUGUAAAUAGAUAAUUAGAUGUUGAACAUCAUUCGGUGAAUUAGCCUGCGACUUGUUGGCCGAAGAAUUGGCUGGCGAGCUGGUGAUGGAAGAAUUGGUUGGCGACAAGAUGGCCGAUUUGGCUGGUAAUUUUGUGGUCGGCGAAUUUGCAGAAGAAUUGGAACACGAGCUGGCCGGUGAUUUAGAUGGCGACAAGCUACACGAUUUGGCUGGUAAUUUUGUGGUUGGCGAAUUGGAAGCCAAGCUGGCCGGUGGUUGCGACAAACUAGCCGAUUUGGCUGGUAAUUUUGUGGUCGGCGAAUUUGCAGAAGAAUUGGAACACGAGCUGGCCGGUGAUUUGGUUGGCGACGAACUAGCCGAUGUGGUCGGCGAAUUGGAAGCCGAACUGGCCGAUGAAUUUGGUGGCGGCAAUGUUGGCGAUUUGGCGGGGGACGAAUUUGCUGACGACAAUCUGCCCGGUGAUUUGGUGACUGAAGACAAUAUGGCCAAUGAUUUGGUGGCUGAAGUCAGACUUGCUGUUGAAUUCGCUUGCGACUUGGUGGCCGGUGAAUUGGCUGUCGUCUUAAUGGAUGAAGAAAAGCAAUCCGGCGCUGAGGUAGCUUUGGAAUUUCCUGGCGGUAAGGUGACAAGUUCUGGUAGUGAUGUGAUUGGCCUGGCUGGUGAUUUGGGAGUCCACUUAACAGCUGAAAACCAACCCCUAUGAUUAGCAUUGAAAUUGAUUCUUUGUUUGAGGGAAUUGACUUAAACCCUAGCAUUACGAGGACUCGAUUCAAAGAGUUAAAUGCCGAUCUUUUCCGCUCUACCAUGGAACCUGUCGAGAAAGCCAUCCGUGUUCUGUGACACCAAUAUGGACAGAGCACAAAGCCCAGAUUCAAGAUAUCGUUCUCGUUGGUGGAUCAAUCCGUAUUCCGGAGGUGGAAAAGCUCUUGCAACAUUCCUUCAACGGAAAAGAGGUUAAGAAAUACAUCAAUCACGAUGAGGCCGUUGCCUACGGUGCGCUGUUCAAACUGCAAUUCUUCAGGGAGUCAAAUCUGAGGCUGUCCAAGAUCUUCAAAAAAUGAAUUGAAGUGAAAACUUACAGCGAAUUUUGCCAUGUUGAACAACUUGAUUUAUUGCAAGAGACAGAGAGAGAACUUGUGAAGUUGUGAUGUUACUGUUGAUUUGCUGGUACAAACAACUGAUGACAGUGGACUCGAAGACGGUCGGUAUUUAUAGCAAGAAGGUAAAACCUGCCGGCCAUAUGGCCAGGGUGAGAAAGCGCAAAGCGGCAUACAUGCAUUCAUUGCCUUACUCAUUAUCAAAAUCAUUAACGGCGAAUUAUCUUGUGUAGAAUUGAUGCGCAAAUAGCUAUACCGACCAGUUUAAUAUCAGAAACUAUAUAUGUCUGUAAUUAUUGACUUUGUACUAAAAUAUGUAUGAAACAAACAGAACUUGUUACCAAGCCCAUCUUUGUUAUUCGGUAUUUAUGUAUAUUUGUUAUUCAAUUACUCUUUGAAUCUGUUCAUACUACAAUAAACGGUGGAAUUCAA
rnacentral:misc_RNA from 1 species